UACGGAGGGUGCGAGCGUUGUCCGGAAUCAUUGGGCGUAAAGGGCGCGUAGGUGGCCCGGUCAGCGUGCGGUGAAAGCUCGGGGCUCAACCCCGAGUCGGCCGUGCGAACUGCUGGGCUUGAGCACUGUAGAGGCAGGCGGAAUUCCGGGUGUAGCGGUGGAAUGCGUAGAGAUCCGGAAGAACACCGGUGGCGAAGACGGCCUGCUGGGCAGUGGCUGACACUGAGGCGCGACAGCGUGGGGAGCAAACAGG
rnacentral:rRNA from 1 species